CAGGCUCGUUGGUGAGUAGCGACCACAGCUAGACGGUAGGCGGCCUGAAUGUCGCUGACACACUGGAAUGAGAUACGGCCAGACUCUACGGAGCAGCAGUGGGAAUAUGGCAUGGGGAAUCCUGACCAGCGACGCGCGUGAGAAGAGCCCGUCGGGGGUGUAAACUCUGUGUAAGGGAAGAAGACAGUGACGGUACCUUACGAGGAAGCCCCGGCAAACUACGUGCCAGCAGCCGCGGUAACACGUAGGGGGCGAGCGUUGUCCGGGAAUUACUGGGCGUAAAGCGCACGCAGGCGGAUGCGCGCGUCGGCUGUGAAAUGCACCGGCUCAACCGGUGCACUGCGGUCGAUACGGCGCAUCUGGAGUGCGGGAGAGGGAAGCGGGAUUCCCGGUGUAGCGGUGAAAUGCGUAGAUAUCGGGAGGAACGCCGGUGGCGAAGGCGGCUUCCUGGCCCGCAACUGACGCUCAUGUGCGAAAGCCAGGGGAGCGAACCGGAUUAGAUACCCGGGUAGUC
rnacentral:rRNA from 1 species